AUGGGGAACAAGAUGACCCAGGUCCUGUCCUACUACCACACGGAGAGGGGGCUGGUGAAGACGCGGAUGGAGGAGGGCGGGUGCCUCAGGAAGUUCGACAGCGCGCGGUAUUGGUGCGAGAAGAGGCAGUCGACGGGCGCCGGCUCCGACGUGCGGACGUGCAUGGGCAAGACGGCGAGGCUGCGCGAGUGCAUGCAGUGCAACGAGGCGCACUUCAGGACCUGCAUCCGCGACAUGGACAAGGGGCUCAAGCACGACGACAAUGCCCUGAGGAUAGGCUGGUUGUACACCACACCGCCGCCCGAGGACCAGCGCUGGAAGUGGAGGUGGUGGACCGGCAUGAUUAUUAGGCCAUAG
rnacentral:rRNA from 1 species